CGGAGAGUUUGAUCCUGGCUCAGGAUGAACGCUGGCGGCGUGCCUAAUACAUGCAAGUCGAACGCUUUGUGGUUCAACUGAUUUGAAGAGCUUGCUCAGAUAUGACGAUGGACAUUGCAAAGAGUGGCGAACGGGUGAGUAACACGUGGACAACCUACCUCUUAGCAGGGGAUAACAUUUGGAAACAGAUGCUAAUACCGUAUAACAAUAGCAACCGCAUGGUUGCUACUUAAAAGAUGGUUCUGCUAUCACUAAGAGAUGGUCCCGCGGUGCAUUAGUUAGUUGGUGAGGUAAUGGCUCACCAAGACGAUGAUGCAUAGCCGAGUUGAGAGACUGAUCGGCCACAAUGGGACUGAGACACGGCCCAUACUCCUACGGGAGGCAGCAGUAGGGAAUCUUCCACAAUGGGCGAAAGCCUGAUGGAGCAACGCCGCGUGUGUGAUGAAGGGUUUCGGCUCGUAAAACACUGUUGUAAGAGAAGAAUGACAUUGAGAGUAACUGUUCAAUGUGUGACGGUAUCUUACCAGAAAGGAACGGCUAAAUACGUGCCAGCAGCCGCGGUAAUACGUAUGUUCCAAGCGUUAUCCGGAUUUAUUGGGCGUAAAGCGAGCGCAGACGGUUAUUUAAGUCUGAAGUGAAAGCCCUCAGCUCAACUGAGGAAUUGCUUUGGAAACUGGAUGACUUGAGUGCAGUAGAGGAAAGUGGAACUCCAUGUGUAGCGGUGAAAUGCGUAGAUAUAUGGAAGAACACCAGUGGCGAAGGCGGCUUUCUGGACUGUAACUGACGUUGAGGCUCGAAAGUGUGGGUAGCAAACAGGAUUAGAUACCCUGGUAGUCCACACCGUAAACGAUGAGUGCUAG
rnacentral:rRNA from 1 species